CAUAUGUGAAAUUCUGCAAUGAUGCCCAGCGGCAUGCUACUCUCAAGCUGGAGGUCGAGCUUAGGAACUGGAGGUCCUGCUUCGUGAGCUACGUCAGUGCUCAGAAGGCGUACAUCGAAUCCCUUGAUGGUUGGUUGUCCAAGUUCAUGCUCACAGACACCAUCCGUUAAUCCCGGGGAUCUCCUUGAUCGCGCUCGACAGGACCAGCGAGUAGCACACUACGCUGUCGACAACCGGAUCCUCCUCACAACUGACUCCGGCAUGGGCUUGCUCGCGCUCGACAGGACCAGCGAGUAGCACACUACGCUGUUGACAACCGGAUCCUCCUCACAACUGACUCCGGCAUGGUACCCAUUCCAACCCAAGAAGACGACUCAAGGGAGGACUGAUCUAUAUGUAGGCAGAUGGAUGAAUUCCAAGCCAUGAGAUAAAGUACCCUAAACCGAACUUACUAUUUAUUUGCAGUUUGCGAGUACACUUGUACUUCCCUGAUUUCUGCCCCAAAUAGCAUGCUUCCAGAU